UUAAGUCUUUUAUAAAAUAAAACACAAAUAUAUGAAAAUGUGACAUUUACUAAAUAUUUGUCAAUUGAAAAAAAAAACAAAAAUAAACCCGCGCUUUGAAAGCGCGGGUCAAAAUCUAGUCUAAACUAUUAAAACAUGAUCAUAGGAGUAUAAAUAAAAUCUGACCCAAAGUUUUACUCAAUAAUUAUAAUUAAAUGUCACUGGUCUUAUUUUCAUUUAAUAACAUUAAGUAAUCAGCAUUAAAGCAUUAAUUAAUUCAGAUAUUCAAUAAAAUCUCGAGACUCCUUAAACUAAUCAUGGAAUAUUACUUUCAUAUAUACAUUAAUUUUCAUUGCUUGGAUUUAUAAUUUUAUCUGGACCUCUAUCAAAAUGCAAAAUAUACAAAAAUUCCAAGAAAGUAAACCACAUUAUUCAUAUGCUAUUAUAUUGUCAUCAAAUAUCUCUAAUCUUAACUACAAAUAUUAUACACUAUUAAAAUAAAAAAGAACGGUUUUUAAUUAAUUAUUUAAGAGAUACUUAUAUAUUUUUAUUUAAACGUGUAAAUCACGCUUGGUUAAUAUUUUGUUAAAUUUUCUUUUUAACCUACAGAGUCAGACUAACAAAGCACAUUAGAUUCAUAUAGCUUCAAAGCAAAUUAGAUUCAUCAAACAACCUAAAUUUGUCUGCAAAAACAAUUUUUGCUUUUUUAAAAAAAUGCUGAACCUUUUAAAAUCAGACGGUAAAUUCAAAUAAAAAUGAUUUAUUUGUGUAAAUAGUUAUUCUAUCGUUUCAAUGCUAAACCAACAAGAUAAUAUAUAUAUAUAUAUAUAUAUAUAUAUAUAUAAUUUAAAAAUUAACAUUUCAAAACAAUUUAUAAAAUUUCUGCAUAUAAACUUUAAAACAAUGUUAAACAUCGAGAAAAUAUUGGUAAGAAUUAAAAAUAGUUACCAAAAAUUAUGUUUGAUAAAUUUUGAAAAACGUAAAAUUAAAAAACAUGUGUGCAUGUGCACGGGUCAAUAUCUAGUUUUCUUUAUAAAGUGAGACAAAAGUUUUCAAUUAUGUUAAAUAUUUUCGAUUCAGAAGACUUUUAGGGAAGUUUUCUAAUAGAAGACUUUCGUAAAAUCUUUUAAUCCCUAAAUUUACUAUUCUCCCAAAAGAUAGGAAAGUCUUCUAGUGAAUUAUUCAUAAGAAGACUUAACUAACCUAAACCCUAAAAUCAAAUAACUAACUAGACAUAAAUUAACACUUCACUAAGCUUAAAAUUAACUUUUAAAGUAUCUAAUAUACAAAAAACUAAACAGAUAUAUGUCAAAUUUAGUUUAAAAAAAAAGAAGUUAAGAUUCCAAAAUCUAACUCUAAAAUACAAACAAUACUAUGACAUAUGCUACCAAACCCUAAACCAUAGAAUAUCAUGAUUCAAUCUACAUUCACUCAUCUAUGUUGAAAACAAUUCAAUUUUACUAUAUCUUAAUUUCUAUCAUUUACAAAAUGUUUAUAAUUACAUGAAUUCAAUUUUUUCCCUAGAACAAUAUUUUUUUAUAAAAUUCAUAAAUUAUUUUUAAGAUCAACUAUAUGAGAAGAUUUUCUGGAAGUUUUUCAGAAGACUUACAGAACUGAGCAUAGUAGAAGUCUUAAAAUUAUUUUUAUUUGUACUUCUCUUUUAAUAAGAUAGAUGUAACAUUUGAUUGUAUCAAUGGGCAAGCCUGACCAUUUUAUUUGAUACCCAAAUCCGAACCCAAAACAAAAAUACUCCAACCGAAACUGAACCGUGAUAUAAAAAUACCUGAAUGGCUUUUAAUAUGAGUAUGUCCGGAUAACCGAACCCGAUGGAUUAUAUCCGAUACCCGAAACGUUACCCGAAAUAUCCAAACAUAUAUUGAGAGAGAGAAAUCUUAAAAGGUUGAAAAGCUUCUAACUUUCUUUUUCUUCUUAAUCUGAUUUCGAGGGUGAUAUCGAACCAUGUGUUUAUUUGUGUGAAAUGAAUAUAUCUAUAUAUAUAAAGUAGAGUUCUCUCUCUCCAGGGCCCUCCACGUCAGAUUCCACCUAAGAAAUUCAGGUCUUCUGGUGUCAACACGUGUCUUCCUACAAUUCAUUUUCCGCUCCACACACUUCGGGUGAUUUCGCCAUUAACUUCAACCAUUAUUUCUUUCUUAAAAACAUAGAACUGAGAAAAUCACAGAGCACUCUUAGACUUCCCUUAUUAUUAAUGUAUUCAUUAGAUUCUUCAAGUUUCCUUUACAGCUUCUCCAAUUCGUUUUUUUUUGCUUCUGGAUUUUCGAUUUUAUAAGAAUUCUUCAAUCCUCCGAUUUCUUUUGAAGCGCCUGAGACGAAGAAACUGGUGACAAAUUCAAAAAUUCCUGUGUUAACACGUGUUCUUUUUAUUGAACGCUCCGUUUUAUUAAUCGAAGUGUGCAUAAGAUGUGGGCCUGCGUUUUGUAUGUCUUGCUCGACAGCCUCUCAACCAUCAGAUUUUCCCACUUUUUGUUUUCCGCCAUUGAACGAAUUGAAUCGCCGACUAACAACUAUAGUUCUCCCAACCAUCAAUGAAGAUCGAGUGUUUCAUGGGCUACGAUUGAUUCAAUACAAGAUCAGAUAGAAUCCGUUGUCACUGUUUUGUCGAUUCGAGUUCUUCAACCCGGGAAGGAAUUCCGGCGCCGUUACGGUACUCGACUCGAUGCAUGCAUUGUCAACAUUAGCAACAUUAGUUCAAUUGUGUGAAGCUGUAACUAGAAUGUCAAAUUCCAGUCUGCUACUCGGUGAUUUGAAGGCCGCCGGCGUUGACGUUUGUCUCCUGAGAUUAUGUAGGCUCACUGAUGUAAAGAAAGCCGGCGAGGAGAAAAACAUUAUCAGCUUCGAGUUUUUUUGUAGAGUUUAUACUUUCCGAUUUCAUAGGAAAGCCCUCUACUUUGGUUUCUCUCACUUUCACUUCAUCAGUCUGAAACUCUAGAAGACAUACCUAAGUGAAAGCAAGACAAAUCAGAGGGGACACAAGACGACUAUUGUUAAUGGCAUCAGAGAGACUUUCAAAGAAUAUAACUCUGUCCAUGUUUUCUCUUUUAAAAACAUGAAAACUAUCAAAUUCAAGGAGUUCAUACAACAGUUUAGACACCAUGGAAGUUCUACUUCUGAUGAAGUCCAUCAUGCCAUCUUUAAAGCCUCUAAGCUGCUUCAUGGUGAUGAUGAACUGCUUAUGCCAAAGGAAGAGGUUGAAAGCUUAUUUGACGCUUAUGAAGAUUCUGACUUUAGAAGGAGUGGCAGUAUAAACGGUUGAACUGAAGGGAGGUCUUCUAGAGCAGUUCACACAUGAGAUGGAACCGUUUCUAAGGAAGCAAGGUACAACCUGAUAUUGAUUGUUAUAGCCAGAUGUAUCCCAACCAAAAAUACGUUUGCGACCACGGUUAGCAAUAUUGAUCAAGACCUUGCUCAAGAAAAAUGUGUACCAAGAGCAAGGUGAUAUAAUUUAUAUAUAUAUUUAAAGUAAUGUUAUUAAGAACAUAUGAUUUUUAAGUGAAAAUAUAGGUCUGAGAUGAAUUAUGAAACAUGAUUAGCAGGAAAGUUGGAAACGGAGACAGUUUCUGAUAAGGCAUGCAAUGGCACCUCGAUAUUAGACAGUUCGGAGGAAUCGAAGAUGGGUUUGGAUGUGAGAAUGUGUAAUGGUGUAUGAUAAUCAAUAAGUAACUCAUAGACGGGAACACCAUUAUUGGUAAUUUUAUGGGAGAUUCUUCUUCUCCGUUUUUUUUCUGUUAUCUUCCUGUCCAUGUUGUAUAUCUAUCUAUAUUUUUGCAUCAGUAGUGAUUCAACUAACAAAAAGAGACGACUCUGUUUAUCCAGGAACUGAUCAUCCCUUUCGAAAAAGGUAAUUCUUUUUUUUAUAAAGUUAAAUCACUUAUCAAGAAUAUAAUAUAAGAUGUGUAUGCUAAUCAAGUGCAAUUUAUUUAUUGUGCGUGAUCCUCUUCGGUACGUCUGAGAGCCAAAGGUAAUCUCAAAGCUGUUUAAAAACUUUGAAACUCAUUGACGUUGUCCUAUCAAUUAUAUAAUUUUUUAUCUUUUGGGGAUUGUUUACAUCUUUAAAUAUCUUUGUUAGAAUUACCUCUUUUCUGACUUAAGGCUUAAAGAAGGAAACCGUAAAUCAUCUCUGUUGUUACAAUGAUUCCAAUGAUAAUAAAUCUCAGGUAAUUCAAAAUCUCUCUUUUAUAUUUCAUGGCUGAUUUUUUUAUUGGGGUUAUGCGUGAAAUAUUUAUUUUUUCUCAAUUAUAUUUUUCUGAUGUUUUAAGAUUAGUGUUAAAUGUGAUCGUUUUCUAAACGUUCUAAUGUAUUCUUUGUUCAUAUGAUCAUAGUAUAAAUAUUUUAAUUGAACAUCGAAUCUUUCAUAUUAACUAUGUACAUGUAACAUAAGUAUUAUAUAGUUGUAAAUAAGUAAUUAUCAAUUUAAUAUUAAUGUUAAUGUCCGCACAUGCGUGCGGACGGUCCAUCUAGUUCUGGUUUAAAAGGCAAACCCUUUAUCUAGUCUUCACAUGAUUCAACGAAAAAAAAAACCUGGCUCUGGUAUGUUUUGAAAAUUUUCAAUAAAAAAAGAAGGGAAAAGAUCAUUUAUUUUUUUACAAAAAAAAACGAAAAAAAA